rnacentral:tRNA from 1 species
GCGCCGGUGGUGUAAUGGUGUAGAACAUUCCCCAGCAGUAGAUGCGGGUUCGAGUCCCGCAUGGCGCU